GAUGUCGUGGCCAGCGGUGCGGCCUCGACGGCCACGGCCGGUGUCGCGACGGCGGCCGGUGCCGGACCGGCCGACAUCGCC
rnacentral:tRNA from 1 species